AUUGAACGCUGGCGGCAGGCCUAACACAUGCAAGUCGAGCGAGCGGCGGACGGGUGAGUAAUGUCUGGGACACUGCCUGAUGGAGGGGGAUAACUACUGGAAACGGUAGCUACUACCGCAUACCAUCAGAUGUGCCCAGAUGGGAUUAGCUAGUAGGUGGGGUAACGGCUCACCUAGGCGACGAUCCCUAGCUGGUCUGAGAGGAUGACCAGCCACACUGGAACUGAGACACGUUCCAGACUCCUACGGGAGGCAGCAGUGGGGAAUAGUGCACAAUAGGCGCAAGCCUGAUGUAGCCAUGCCGCGUGUGUGAGGAAGGCCUUCAGGUGGUAAAGAACUUUCGGCGAGGAGGCGUUACCCGCAGUAGAGGCAACGGCUAACGCCGUGCCAGCAGCCGCGGUAAUAC
rnacentral:rRNA from 1 species